CGCACUCUGUGCGUAUUUAUAGCACCGUACUGUGUACCGGCUGCUACAUUCCCCCCCUUUGAAGGGAACCGUCCCGGGCCCUUAGAGCCUCGUAUACCGCCAGCCUGUGCCUACCUUCGCCUACCCUCGGGCAGUGGGUACUUACUCCACGUCACGUCAUGUGCCGGCUCACAUGCGCCUAGCCGUCUUCAGGUUUUUCAGGCACAGAGACAGUCCAGUCGGUUCAGCUACUUUUAUAAUUUCCGAUUUCCACUCAAGCGUGAUUGGUGGGGUUUGAACCGACGACUUCAGGAUCGUGAAUUUUCACGAGGUCUCGAUACC
rnacentral:lncRNA from 1 species